ACAGAAAUCGACCCAAAACCAACUGGCCCAAAAAUCAACUUUAAAAUCGGCCCAUUGUACCAAAAAAACACCCAAGCCCCAAUCCAUUGAUCUGAAAAUCUACCCAAACCCAACUGGCCCAAAAAAUCACUGACACAGAAAUCUACCCAAACCCAGCUGACCCAAAAAUCAACUUUAAAAUCGGCCCAUUGAUCCAAAAACACCCCAACCCCAAUCCAUUCAUCUGAAAAUCUACCCAAACCCAACUGGCCCAAAAAAACACCGACACAGAAAUCAACCCAAAACCAACUGGCCCAAAAAUCAACUUAAAAGUUGGCCCAUUGAUCCAAAAAAACAUACCCAAACCCCAAUCCAUUGAUCUGAAAAUCAACCCAAACCCAAAUGGCCCAAAAAGACACCAACACAGAAAUCGACCCAAAACCCAGCUGACCCAAAAAUCAACUUUAAAAUUGGCCCAUUGAUCCAAAAACACCCCAACCCCAAUCCAUUCAUCUGAAAAUCUACCCAAACCCAACUGGCCCAAAAAUCAACUUAAAAUUGGCCCUUUGAUCCAAAAAAACACCCAAACCCCAAUCCAUUGACCUGAAAAUCUACCCAAACCCAACUGGCCCAAAAAAACACCAACACAGAAAUCAACCCAAAACCAACUGGCCCAAAAAAACACCGACACAGAAAUCG
rnacentral:lncRNA from 1 species